CCUACGGGAGGCAGCAGUGGGGAAUAUUGCACAAUGGGCGAAAGCCUGAUGCAGCCACGCCGCGUGAAGGAAGACGGUUUUCGGAUUGUAAACUUCUGUUCUUAGUGAAGAAUAAUGACGGUAACUAAGGAGCAAGCCACGGCUAACUACGUGCCAGCAGCCUCGGUAAUACGUAGGUGGCAAGCGUUGUCCGGAAUUACUGGGUGUAAAGGGAGCGUAGGCGGGAAGACAAGUCAGCUGUGAAAACUACGGGCUUAACCUGUAGACUGCAGUUGAAACUGGCUUUCUUGAGUGAAGUAGAGGUUGGCGGAAUUCGGGGUGUAGCGGUGAAAUGCGUAGAUAUUCGGAAGAACACCGGUGGCGAAGGCAGCCAACUGGGCUUUAACUGACGCUGAUGCUCGAAAGUGUGGGGAGCAAACAGGAUUAGAUACCCGAGUAGUC
rnacentral:rRNA from 1 species